AGUCUUCACAUCCAAAUAAGGAGAGACAGGUCAGGUUAAAGCUGGACAGGGCUUCUGUGCAUUUUAUACAAAGGAAAUGGGGAGGCUCUGCAGGAAUUAGUCCAUAUGCACCUUUUCAAAGAGGCCUGGCACUACCCCCUCCCCUUCUUCAGUAUUCUGUACAUUCCUCAAAUACAGAAUGAACAGAGUGGAGCAAGUUUUACUUACCUCUCCAUCUUAAAUAACCACUAACAUUCUCUCAAGGAUCUAGGAUAUAAACCUGGUGCACUAAUUCUCAUCACAACAAAUUUCUUCUUUACUUUUUCUUAAUGCCUUCAGGAAUAAGAGAAACCCCAUAAAUCAGAAAAAGCCUCAUCUUUUAAGAACUACUGCUCCUUUAGAGGUGGAAUUGUUUGAGUAAUUGUAUAAUGGUGCUUGGCACUUAGUAGGAACUUAACAGAUAUUUGUUGAUUUAAUGAAUAAGUGAGAAAUAUUUGUUAGGCUGCAGUUUUAAAUGAGUACAGCUGUAGAAGGUCCAAGCUCACCAAGUCCAAGACGAGAGAAUGUGGUUGGUUUGCCAUUCACAUGGCUGGUCUUGGUUUGGGAUUUUUGUUACCUGAGGGACAGUCUCUGCUGAAAAAAAAAAACCCUAGCAGAACCAGGCUGCUACUGUGACUGAGAUCAUUCUUCUGUGUCUACAUAUUUUAUAUGCCAAAGGAGAGUACUUCCUUUGCCUGUCUAAGCUCCAAAACUAACCAUUCCUGUCUCUAAGCUUGUCAAUGCUUUCAACAGCAUAGCUUGGAAUGGUGCCAAAGAGAUCUACAACUAGUUUGUAUUCAUUUGGAAUUUUCAGUACCCAUUUUCCAAGAUAGACAAGAGAUUCACAAAUUUUCCGUCUCUGAAAAUGCUCCUGUUUCUGCCUUGAAGGGCUGUAUCAUAUCUAGCCUGUAAGAAACAAGAGAGGUCUGUGAAGAACAGCUUGGGGAAAAAAAAGGUGAGAAUUGCCUUCCAAUGCAGAAUUGUAUGAAGCAAUCUUCACUUUUGAAUCACAGUGUGCUUCAUGCCAAAAUUCAAUAGCCACAUCGAACAUCAAUGAGCUGAGUGUGGAAUACACCUUUUCCCAAGUGAUCUAAUGCUUUUCCUAAGUUGACUUUUGAAGUGACACAGACUUCUGUUGCUUCAUUUUUAACUUCUUUUCUUUCUUAUUUUAUAUCUAACUUCUAGCUUUGUCCCUCAAAACUGAUGUUAGUGCUUCAUAAGCCAGAAACAAUGGGAAAGAGGCACCUCACCGAUACCAAGAUGUAUGAUGUUGCUGUUCAGUUGAAAGGUUCGCAGGAGGUGGAAGUAGAGAAGAGAAAGAAAGAGAACUCCUUGAACUUGAAAACAGACCAUCAAUGAGACAGGGUCUCACUGUGUUGCCUAGGCUGGUCUUGAACUCCUGCAUUCAAGCGAUCUUCCUGUCUUGGCCUUCCAAAGCACUAGGAUUACAGAUCUUUAUGGUCUGCCAAUACAAGAACAUCAUCAAUCUAAUAUAAACAGUUUGGUCAAAUGUCUUUGGGACCUAUCUAUUGGGACCUAUUACUUGGGACCUAUUCAUUACUAUUAUAAUUAAUAGUAUUCUUUUGGAAAAUAUGUCACUGUAUUACAUUCAUGUGUUAAUUAUGAAUGCAAUUCACAAAUCUGUGAUAAAAGUUACACUGCACCAGACACUCCAGACACAGGGCUAAAGAGGACUGAUAUUGCCACACAUAAAGAAGUAUUUAUUACAACAGGAAUAGAGUCAUGUAACAAGCAAGUGCAAGCAAUUGUGCUUCUUGGUAGCACAAAUACAGAACCAUGCAGUAUUACAGAGGUGCCUAAGGUGGGGGCCUUAAGAGAAUCUGAACAUUCUGACGUUGAGAAACAAUGCUUAGAGGUAUUUGUUGUUGUUGGUGUUGCUAUAAAAAUCCUCCCCUUUCAUGAACAUUUUUUCUUUACUUAUUUUAUGUGUUUGUUUGAUUCCCUAAUUUAGGCUUUAAAAUGUGCUGACUUUGUAGUCAUAAUUAUGGUACGCUUUUCAAAAUUGUUAAUGCGGGUGACCAAAACCAAUCCCUACCCUUUACAGGCCUGCCACAAUCCUAUUGAUAGCGGCAACUGCCAGCUGAAGGUUUUGGAUCUUGUGAUUGCAAUGGAAACUGGCACGAUCAAUCCACUUAUUUGCUAAAUUACCCGUGCUUCCUCUACUGUAAUUCCCCCCUGCCCCCUGCGAGACAGAGUCUCGCUCUGUCGCCAGGCUGGAGUGCAGUGGCCCGGCAUGAUCUCGGCUCGCUGCAAGCUCCGCUUCCUGGGUUCAGGCGAUUCCCCUACCUCAGCCUCUGGAGUAGCUGGGAUUACAGGCGCGCGCCACCACCCCCAGCUAAUUAUCAUUAUUAUUAUUUUUGUAUUUUAGUAGAGAAGGGAUUUCACCAUGUUGACCAGGAUGGUCUCGAUCUCCUGAUCUCGUAAUCUGCCCUCCUCGGCCUCUCAAAGUGCUGGGAUUAUAGGCUUGAGCCACCGUGUCCUCUACUGUAAUUUUACUUGCCCCCUGUGGGGUAAAUAUUUUCAACAUACUUUUUGGUACUGCAGUAAAUCACAUUCUAUCCUCAAGGAUGAAAAGCAGGAAGAUUCUUAUUCAUUAGAAUAGAGUUUCUUCCCAAACAUCCAUGCAAGUUUAAAGGCUCCUAUUGACUAUGUAUUAGAAGCACUUUUUUUGUUGUGUUUUGUUUUUUACUGAAAUGAUAUUGUUGGCUCUACAAACAAAUGAAACCCAAUAAUGGGUUUCUCUAUUCUUGCUGGUCUUUUCCUUCUUAAAAGAAUCAUGUGGUCAUUCCUUAUUUGAAAAAAAAAAAGAAAAAGACACUGAAAUGCUGCAAUGCCUGAUAAGGAGAAUCUGCAACACUUGGGCAUCUUGUGUAUAAGAAAAGAUUCUUAUCCUUAUGCUACUGUCAUGGAGCUUGGAUAUUUACAAACCUACCGCUUUUGACAAGCUUGUGAGAAUUUACAUAGUCUCACACCGCCCCUAAUUUUUAUGGCAGAAUGUGUCUCACAUUUGUAAUAUUCUCAGAGCUCCUCAGGAUUCUAACCUCUCUAACUAGAGAUGGUUUCUGAGCAGGCAAGAAGGAAAAAGAGGCAAAAACUGAUUGCAUCUUUUGUUCGCUUUUCAAAGCCAGAUCUCGAAAUUCCCAAGAAUCCUUAAAGUUGGAGACAUGUAGCUAAUGGAAUUCUAGUCAAUCCACAUAUUUAUGUGUUUGGAAAGUGGCUGUUAUCAGUUCUUCUUAACCAUGUGCACUAUUGUCAGGGCCCUUCCAGGCAGCCACACCUGACGAAAGCUGUGAUUGCCCUAGAUUUCCACUAGAGACCUCUAGCUGAUCACAGGAGCCUGGAAAGCAGCUCUCAUUACUGGGCGUUUCUCUAGAAGCAGCAGAGGAUAAGAGUUUGCCAGUUGCCCCUGGGAGAAGGUGGACUUUACCAUCAAAGGAAAAUAAUUCUGUAUAAUCUUUCUCUCUCUCAUUUUUUUUUAAAGCAAAUUGAGGCUUAUUCAAGUAGGUAUAUUGUGAAACACUGAAGAGGAAAUAAUUUCUGUGUCUUAAAGCUAUGGCAUACAAAAGACAAAAUAGAGAUUUUUAUAGAUUGAAAGGCCCCUUCUCUAAGGGGCUGUUCAUACUGAUAUUUGGAGGCCAGCCUCAAUUCUCAGUGUUUGAGAGCUUCUCCUGACAGGUAUGAGGGAGAAUGAGUUUACUCGCAGUCUGAGAGCUUUUAGGCAUUAUUGUGAAGCUGAACAAAGUGCUCCCUGUGCCCCACCAUGCCCCAGCCUUUUACUGCAGCCCCCUAUAUGUGAAGGAUGGUAGCCCUCCGGGUGCAUACCACCUUCAAUGCCAGGCCUAUAGCUGUAAUCCCAUGCAACAGAAACAGAUGGGAUACAUCUGUAAGGAGAGACUGGUAGAUGAAGUUUCACCGUUUUUCCAAAAACGCAAAACACAUUAAUCUCCAUUUGCCUUUGAAUAGUCUGCAGUAGAAACAGAGGACCAAAAGGGAAAAUAAUCUCCCCUCAUUUAACCUGUGCCCCUGUGAAAAAUUGUGAUAGCUUGUAUUUCAGAAACUGAGUGUAACUAAUUUUGCCCUCUAUCCAUGGUCUUCACUACACAGCAGCAUUAGAAAGAGAAUCAAAAUCGGAUCAGAUCAAUGAAUCUAUAAAGCCUUUUUUGGAAUGUAUUGCCACCACGAGUUGAUCAGUUUCUCCAGAGGCCCUCUAAUACCCAGUUUUCUCUGGGGCAAUUGUAGAUCCUUUUGCAUUCAUUUUUAGGACAAAUCUUGUCAUUCUUUUAGGUAGACUGUCAUUUGUUCAUUCAUUUAUUCAUUUGUUUUUCAAAUGCCUAUGCUGCUCCAGUCGCUGUGAUUUGCAAAGAAAACACAAAUGAUGAUAUACAGGGCUUGAGUGGGAGUUCCUAACAUUGGAUCCACAGAUUCCUAAAAGUGAACGACUACUUCAAGAUGUCUGUAAUCCUCCUAAGAUGUGUGUGUGCUUUAACUAUGAGAAAAAUCCAAGAUUUAGAACAAUCUUUAAAGGGAUUGAUGUAAAAACUAUUGUAGAGGCUGACAGUUACACGAGCAAGUAAUCAGAAGACUACAUUAGAAUUGUCAUAUAGUAAAGAUACAGUAUGUACAGUGUCACAUGAGGUCACAGGUGGAGUUUUCUCAAUUGUCACUGAUGACACAGGUCAGUGAAGGCUACAGAGAAGGUAGCAUUUGUGUUAUAUGUGAAGGUUGAGUAGGAAGUGGUGAGAUGACUUGAAGGGAGGGUAGACGAAAGUCAGUGUGCUCUGAGGGGCAGUUCACCUCCAGGGUCUGAGGCCACCCUGCAAGUUGGAGCAUGAUUGGAAUUUUCUCUCCUGCAACCUGACAAAUGAAGCGCGCUUUGCCAUGAGUCAACUGUUACGGGAAAAGGAAUUCCACAGGCAUGCCCUGACUGACCACAAAUGGGCGAGAGCACAUGUGAGUACAGAAUGCCCAAAGGUUGGUGUGGAAUAAUCAAAACGAUUCAAAUGCUUGGUGCUGUACCAGAGUUGUAGGAGGCCUAGCCUCAGCACUGUACUGCUGCUCUCACUCUCCAACCUGCACUGGAGAGGAAGGUCAACUACAGUAGGUGGAGCUCUGCACCAGGUCCAGAAAGCAGACCUUGAUUCUGCAGCUGACCAUCUUCCUGCUCACUUAAUUCCACCAGCCUCCACUUCUGCUUCUGCACUUAACAGUUACAUUUAUUGAGGACCUCUAUAUCCCAGCCACCGUACUGGGUGAAUUACCUGCCUAGUUUCAUUUUAUUCUCCUGACACCCUGCAAAGUAAUUUUCAUUUUCCAAAUAGGGAAAAUAUACUCAGAAAAUUAAAAUAAUGCCAAAGUAGUCAUGCUGCUAUAAUGUGGUGAUACCAAGAGAACCACAGUCUCUACUUCAAUCUUGAUAAUUCAACUGGUUUUAAAUGUCACCAUCUUAAGGCUAUUGAUUUAUCAGUGAAACAAGAGAGGUCAGUGUAAUUUAACACGGUUUUGCAGAGCUAGAAUACUGCAUUGGGCAUAUAUUGCUUAUUUGGGAAGUUAUAGAUGUGAGUUUGUCUACAGGAGUGCCAUAUUUUGAUGGUUAAUGAUAGUUUAAUUUUAAACUUACAGGAUACAGGUUAAGAUUAAGCUGUUUCUUUCAUGUGAGUCUCAUCACUGAGAUCUGAUUCCACCUACAAAGGUAAGAGAAUUUGAAGUAAGUAGCAACUAGUCUUCUCAGAAUGUUCCAAAUUGCAAAAACAAGUCUGGAUUUUAAUCUGAGAAUUAUUACUUUAUCAGGAUCUAUCUAUAAAAUAUACCAUUUGACCAUAACAAA
rnacentral:lncRNA from 10 species